AGCCCCGGCAGCAGGCACGGGGAGAGGAGGGAGAGAAGCUGCCGGAGGGAUGGCAGAGAGCAACAUGAACAGCGGGAGAGAAUUACCGGAGAGAACGCGCUGAAUUAAGACCAUGGGUGGCUCGGAAGACAGAGCAAGAGAGACCAGGAGGGGAGAAGCCAUCUUCUGACAAGGCGCCUCCUCUGAGGCAUUCAAGGCAACAGCAGUUAAGCUUAAAAGCAUUUUAAAGGCCCACGGCUUCCACCCAAAGCUGGACGUAAAACAAAACUAACUCGCUUUGAAACCGGAAGGAUGAAGGCUGUUAUUCGUAGUUUCUAUGAUAGUUCAAGCUGCUGUCUAGUGCUCUUGUUCCUGGAAAGCUCCGCAAAGAGACCAAAGAUUACUUAAUUACGAAAGGGGCGUGAAACCCCCUUGUUGUGGGGUGGGAAUGUGCAUGCUUUAGCAUACCAGAGGACCAGAAAUUCUUACAUUUCAAUGACUGGGCCAGAAUCCCUGUCCUCAGGCACUGCCAUAGCUAACGAAUGGGCCACUUCUGCCUCCCACCCCCAUAGCCUGUAUGUGCAUUGCAGUAGAUGGAGCAGGCCUUGUACACAGAUUUCUGAUGGUGAUGACCAUUAUAUAAGCUGUUUUUUAAUUAAAAACAAUUAUUUGCUAUUGUAGUUCUUCUGCUAACCAAAAAAACCCCCAACCCUAAAGGAAGGCACUAUGGCAAAGCCUCAUCAAUUGCCAAAUAGCCUGUAUGAAAAGAGACCAAAGAAAGGGUAAGAGCAAAAACAAUGAGCUGCUUAGGGAAGAAUCUUGUAAUGACUGCAUGAACUUUAGUAUAAUGAGCAGCGCUAAAAAAUACAAAGUAUUAUCCAUUACAUGUAAGAGUUGAAAAAACAAAUGUCUCUACAGACAGUGACAAAGAACAUUUUGUCAUAGUCUGCUUUUGGAUAUGAAAGGCCACAAAAGGAUUGCUAAAGGGGCUGUACAAUUUACAUCACUGAUGGCGCAACUGACUCACAAACAGAAUGAAAGGAAUCUGCUCUCACCUCCAAGUAACUCCAACAUACAUAACCUUUACCAAAGUAAAUUCAACUUACUGCUUCACAUCUAUCUCCUCUGCUCCAAUACUGACUUCACAUCCUCCGGUUCUACAAGAGGCUGUCUUGGAAUCUCUCAGAGGAAUAACAAAUGGAUCAUAGCCUUUGAUGUAUAAAGUACCUAUUUUUUCUCAUA